CUACGUAGGGGGCGAGCGUUGUCCGGAAUGAUUGGGCGUAAAGGGCGCGUAGGCGGCUUUGCAAGUCAGUAGUGGAAGUCCAUUUUUCAAGGAUGGAAGUGCUACAGAAACUGCGGAGCUUGAGUGCAGGAGAGGUUAUCGGAAUUCCCGGUGUAGCGGUGAAAUGCGUAGAGAUCGGGAGGAACACCAGUGGCGAAGGCGGGUAACUGGGCUGUAACUGACGCUGAGGCGCGAAAGCGUGGGGAGCGAACAGGAUUAGAUACCCUGGUAGUCCACGCUGUAAACGAUGAAUGCUAGGUGUAGGGGGUAUCGACCCCUCCUGUGCCGGAGUAAACGCAAUAAGCAUUCCGCCUGGGGAGUACGGCCGCAAGGUUGAAACUCAAAUGAAUUGACGGGG
rnacentral:rRNA from 1 species